rnacentral:misc_RNA from 1 species
CUGAGGUAUGCUUGGUGUCGUGUCAAAGCGCGCCGGUUACCCGCCCAUUUGUCAUAUGCUCUGGACAUACCCUGCCUUCGGGCAGGGCAUGGUCAGCAACAUAAUUUCGGUCGAGGAGUUGUGGCAGGUUCUUGCUCUGCAGGACCGACAUGACCGCGGCCGGCCCAAUUUUAUACUCUUGUGAGAGGAUGAAGUCUGAAGCAAAAUUAAAUAAAAGCA